AGAACGAAAGUCAGAGGUUCGAAGGCGAUCAGAUACCGCCCUAGUUCUGACCAUAAACGAUGCCAGCUAGCGAUCCGCCGACGUUCCUCCGAUGACUCGGCGGGCAGCAUCCGGGAAACCAAAGCUUUUGGGUUCCGGGGGAAGUAUGGUUGCAAAGCUGAAACUUAAAGGAAUUGACGGAAGGGCACCACCAGGAGUGGAGCCUGCGGCUUAAUUUGACUCAACACUGGAAACCUCACCAGGCCCGGACACCGGAAGGAUUGACAGAUUGAGAGCUCUUUCUUGAUUCGGUGGGUGGUGGUGCAUGGCCGUUCUUAGUUGGUGGAGCGAUUUGUCUGGUUAAUUCCGAUAACGAACGAGACUCUGGCCUGCUAACUAGGCGUUACUCACCGGCAUCCCGAGGGUUCGCGACUCCCGUCAGCCGGAGAGGGACAGGCGGCUCCUAGCCGCACGAGAUCGAGCAAUAACAGGUCUGUGAUGCCCUUAGAUGUUCUGGGCCGCACGCGCGCUACACUGAAGGAAUCAGCGUGUCUUCCCUGGCCGAACGGUCCGGGUAACCCGCUGAACCUCCUUCGUGCUAGGGAUCGGGGUUUGCAAUUUUUCCCCGUGAACGAGGAAUUCCCAGUAAGCGCGAGUCAUAAGCUCGCGUUGAUUACGUCCCUGCCCUUUGUACACACCGCCCGUCGCUACUACCGAUUGAAUGAUUUAGUGAGGUCUUCGGACCGGCACGCGGCGAGGUUUCGACGUCGCCGAUGUCGCUGGGAAGAUGA
rnacentral:rRNA from 1 species